GACGAACGCUGGCGGCGUGCCUAACACAUGCAAGUCGAACGGAACUGUUUUGAAAGAUUUCUUCGGAAUGAAUUUGAUUUAGUUUAGUGGCGGACGGGUGAGUAACGCGUGAGUAACCUGCCUUCAAGAGGGGAAUAACAUUCUGAAAAGAAUGCUAAUACCGCAUGACAUAUCGGAACCACAUGGUUUUGCUAUCAAAGAUUUUAUCGCUUGAAGAUGGACUCGCGUCCGAUUAGUUAGUUGGUGAGGUAACGGCUCACCAAGACCGCGAUCGGUAGCCGGACUGAGAGGUUGCACGGCCACAUUGGGACUGAGACACGGCCCAGACUCCUACGGGAGGCAGCAGUGGGGGAUAUUGCGCAAUGGGGGCAACUCUGACGCAGCAACGCCGCGUGAAGGAUGAAGGUUUUCGGAUUGUAAACUUCUUUUAUUAAGGACGAAAAAUGACGGUACUUAAUGAAUAAGCUCCGGCUAACUACGUG
rnacentral:rRNA from 1 species